rnacentral:lncRNA from 1 species
UCAUGUCCACUACUAAGCUAAACAAGCAUACGAAACAUACAUAGCAUUACAUAACAUAUCAUCUCUUUAACAACUUCCUUACAUAACAUCCACUAUAACCAUAAACAUACACAUCAAGCCUUACUCAAACAUAAACAAAACACAGCUAAGCUAUUACAACCAAACAUGGCAACCCAUGCUUGAACCUCUUCUUUCCCAUAGCUCUAUCUGACUUACUCUGGCUUACUUAUUCUGGCCCUGCAAAACUGGGGUUAAGGGAAUGGGGUGAGUUACAAGAGCCCAGUGAG